AUUAACAGGAUUAGAUACCCUGGUAGUCCACGCCCUAAACGAUGUCGAUUUGGAGGUUGUGCCCUUGAGGCGUGGCUUCCGGAGCUAACGCGUUAAAUCGACCGCCUGGGGAGUACGGCCGCAAGGUUAAAACUCAAAUGAAUUGACGGGGGCCCGCACAAGCGGUGGAGCAUGUGGUUUAAUUCGAUGCAACGCGAAGAACCUUACCUACUCUUGACAUCCAGAGAACUUUCCAGAGAUGGAUUGGUGCCUUCGGGAACUCUGAGACAGGUGCUGCAUGGCUGUCGUCAGCUCGUGUUGUGAAAUGUUGGGUUAAGUCCCGCAACGAGCGCAACCCUUAUCCUUUGUUGCCAGCGGUUCGGCCGGGAACUCAAAGGAGACUGCCAGUGAUAAACUGGAGGAAGGUGGGGAUGACGUCAAGUCAUCAUGGCCCUUACGAGUAGGGCUACACACGUGCUACAAUGGCGUAUACAAAGAGAAGCGACCUCGCGAGAGCAAGCGGACCUCAUAAAGUACGUCGUAGUCCGGAUUGGAGUCUGCAACUCGACUCCAUGAAGUCGGAAUCGCUAGUAAUCGUAGAUCAGAAUGCUACGGUGAAUACGUUCCCGGGCCUUGUACACACCGCCCGUCACACCAUGGGAGUGGGUUGCAAAAGAAGUAGGUAGCUUAACCUUCGGGAGGGCGCUUACCACUUUGUGAUUCAUGACUGGGGUGAAGUCGUAACAAGGUAGCCAAU
rnacentral:rRNA from 1 species